UACGAAGGUUGCAAGCGUUACUCGGAAUUACUAGGCGUAAAGGGCAGGUAGGUGGUUUGGUAAGUCUAUUGUGAAAGCUCCCGGCUUAACUGGGAGAGGCUAAUGGAUACUGCCAAGCUUGAGUAUAGGAGAGGUUACUGGAAUUCCCGGUGUAGCGGUGAAAUGCGCAGAUAUCGGGAGGAACACCAAUGGCGAAAGCAGGUAACUGGACUAUUACUGACACUCAACUGCGAAAGCUAGGGGAGCAAACAGG
rnacentral:rRNA from 1 species